GUCAACCAAAUAAAAGCAGCCCCACCAAUCUGUGGGGGAGAAAAGCCGCUGGUUCAAUGAAGUGAUCUAUUCAACUCAGUGUUUCUCUCUCUUGCUCUCUUCAUUAAUUCCAUACUGUCCUGCCUUUUCAUCCUUUCUGUCUUUUGUUUUCUGUCUCUCUUACUUUUUAUUCCCCUCCUUCUUUCUCUGGCUGGCUGAGCUCUGACAAGGGGAUAGAAUCAAGAGUUUGGGAGAGGAGAGGGACAUUUGGGAGCGAGAUGGCGAGUGGGACGGUGGCGUUGUUCCUGUAUGGAUUCCUGCUCCUGUCUCUGUGGAAACCUUCACUGCAAGGAGGUGUAUACAUACCUGCUGGUGUAGGUGAAGCUGGGGCUGGAUUAGGAGCUGGAGCAGGAGUCAGAGCUGGAUUUGGUCCAGGUGGAGCUGGCACCAGUUUUGGGCCUGGUGGUGUAGGCACUGGAUAUGGGCCAGGUGGCGGAGCCGGAGUUGGACCAGGAGGUGUAGGUGGAGCUGGGGCUGGUCCAGGAGGUGCAGGCUUUGGCCCUGGAGCCGGUGGAGGUUACACCAAGCCAGGGAAGACGGGAGCUGGCUAUGGUGGUCAGGUUGUAGGCCAAGGCCAAGGCCAAGGAGGACUGGGGACUGGAGGUCUGGGGGAAGGAAGAGUUAGACCAGAAGGAGCUGGGGCCGGACCAGGAGGUUAUGGACAUGGCGGUGGUUUAGGAGCUGGAGGCCUUGGAGCAGGAGCUGGCAAUGGAGGUUGGGGUCCUGGAGGACAGGGGGCUGGACUAGGAGCUGGAGGUCUGGGAGGAGGAGGUCUUAGACCAGGAGCCAGACCAGGAGGUUAUGGACCAGGUGGUUAUGGGCCUGGUGCUGAUCUUAGUCUGGGCGGAGCUGUAGCUGGAGGUCUUGGUGGUGGUUACGGACUUGGCGGGGGUCUAGGUGCCGGAGGCCUUGGAGCAGGAGCUGGAGGAAAGCCAGAGAAGGCAGGAGCUGGCUACGGUGGUAGAGAUCCAGGAGGACAGGGGGCUGGACUGGGUGUUGGAGGUUUUGGACCAGGUGGCUAUGGACCAGGUGGAGCUGGUGCUGGACCAGGUGGCUAUGGGCUUGGUGUUGGUCUUGGUCCUGGGGGAGCUGGUCCUGGAGUUUUUGGUGGUGGUUAUGGACCCGAUGGAACAGGAGCCAGUGGGAAGCCUUCCAAAACAGAUGAGCUGGCUAUGUAGGUCGCAGUCCUGGGGGACAGGGGGCUGGAUUAGGAGCUGGAGGCUAUGGACCAGGUGGAGCUGGACCAGGAGGAUAUGGGCCUGGUUCUGGUGUUGGCCAGGGUGGAGCUGGUCCAGGUGGUUUUGGUGGUGGUCUUGGAGCUGGCGGACAAGGAGAUGCCCUUGGAGCUGGGUAUGGAGGUCUCGGAGCUGGGGGACUGGGAUCCAGAGGUACAGGUCAGGGGGCUGGAGGACUUGGAGCAGGCCAAGGUCUUGGAGCCGGCCAAGGAGAUGGAUACAGACCUGGAGGAGGCUACGGUGGUGCUGCUGGUGGUCUGUACCCUGGAGCUGGAGGGGCGGGGGCAGGCCAGAAACCUCCCAAAACAGGAGCAGGAAGCACACUAGGAGGAGAUGGAUAUGGACCUGGUGGUGCUGGUGGAUAUUGGCCUGGUGGCGCAGGUGGACAUGGGCCUGGUGGCGCAGGUGGACAUGGGCCUGGUGGCGUAGGUGGACAUGGGCCUGGUGGCGUAGGUGGACAUGGGCCUGGUGGCGCAGGAACUGGGCCUGGUGGCGCAGGAACUGGGCCUGGUGGCGCAGGAACUGGGCCUGGUGGCGCAGGAACGGGACCUGGUGGCACAGGUGGAUAUGGUCCUGGUGGCGCAGGAACUGGGCCUAGUGGCACAGGUGGAGUUGGCCUUGGUGGUUUUGGGCCUGGUGGCGCAGCAGUACCAGCUGGAGCACCAGUACUUCCACAGACUGGAGUCCCUGGGGGUGGAGCUAGAGAGAAGAGCGGUUGGAAGGCCAACAAACAAGUGCCAGGUGUUGGAGUACCUGGACUUUAUCAAGGUGGAAUAGUGCCUAGUCAAGGUUUCGGAGGGCGUGGGGUUCUACCAGGUGUUGCCACUGGAUCCGGACUUGCUCCCCAGACAGGGGCAGGUGUGCUGGGCCAGGGUGGAGUUGGAGCUGGCACUGGAGCUGGAGGUGGCCGAGGCAGUUUAAAUGGAGUGUUCCGUGGAUAUCCCCUCAUAUCACCUAAAUCUGGAGGGGCUGGAGGCAAAUCAGCUAAUUCCCAGGCCAAGCUUGCUGCUAAAUAUGCUGGAGCUGGAGGUGUACUUCGUCAAGGGGGCAUGUCGGGAGCAGGAGGAGUACCUAGCGGUGUACCUGGAGCAGGUGGGGUCCCUGGUUAUGGAGUUGGAGCUGGAGGUGUACUUCGUCAAGGGGGCAUGGCCGGAGCAGGAGGUGUACCUAGCGGCGUACCUGGAGCAGAUGGGGUCCCUGGUUAUGGAGUUGGAGCUGGUGGUGUACCUGGUUACGGAGGUGGAGCAGGAGGCAUACCUGGAUUCGGAGGCGUAGCCAGAGCAGGAGGCGUACCUGGUUACGGGGGCGGAGCCGGACCAGGAGGCGUACCUGGGGCAGGGGGCGUCCCUGGCUCAGGUGGGUAUGGAUACCCAGGGGGUUACCCAGGUGGAGGGCGGUACCCAGGGGCUGGCCUAGGUGUAGGAGGUGCCUACCCCGGAGGAGCUGGAUCUAAGGCAGCCAAAUAUGGUCAGGGUGGAGCAGGCACUGGAGCUGGUGGUGGGCUCAGCCAGGGAGUGCCUGCAUCUGGGAUUGGAACCGGAAGACUGCCUGGUGGGGCUGGAGGGGAACCAGGAGGCGGUUACAGGCCUGGCGGUAGCUUCGGUCCUGGAGGUGGAGUUGGACCAGGUGGGGCCAGUUAUGGACCAGGUGGGGCCGGCUAUGGACCAGGUGGAGCUGGACCUGGUGGCUAUGGACCAGGUAGUGCUGGAAGUUAUGGAACAGGUGGAGGGGUUGGACCAGGUGGUGCCGGGGAAGGACAUGGUGGAGCUGGCUAUGGACCAGGUGGAGGAGUUGGUGGAGUGCCUGGUGGUGGACACAGACCCGGAGGUGGUUUACCUGGUAGUGGUGCUGGUUACGGACCUGGUGCUGGUGUUGGAGGAUAUGAUGCAAAUGCUAAAGCUCGUAAAUAUGGUAUGCUAAGUGGUGUCCUUGGGACCCCAGGAGGAGGACAGGCAGCCAGCCUGGGAGGAGUACCAGGAGGGGGAGCAGGGACUGGAGUAGGCCAGGGUGGAGUGCCUGGAUCUGGGCUUGGUGGUGGUGGAGGUGUCCCUGGUGGUUAUGGUCCUGGAGCUGGAUUUGGACCUGGCCGUGGAACCGGUGGUGGUUAUGGACCAGGAGUGGGUGCUGGGACUGGACUUGGCCAGGGAGCAGGGCCUGGAGCUGGGCUUGGUGCUGGUGGAGUGCCUGGUGGUGGAUACAGACCCGGAGGUGGUUUACCUGGUAGUGGUGCUGGUUACGGACCUGGUGCUGGUGUUGGAGGAUAUCCUGCUGGGGCUAAGUCUCUGAAAUACGGUCCAGGAGGAGGUGGAGGAGCUCCGGGUGGAGGCCUUGGUGGGCGAUUCGGUGCCCCGGGAGGAGGUCUGCCAGGAGGAGGCUACGGACCAGGGGCAGGAGGCGCCUUAGGAGCAGGAGAAGCAGGAGCAGGAGGAAGAGUGCCUGGGGGUGGAUACGGGACCGGAGCUGGGCCUGGUGCAGGGUAUGGAGCAGGAACAGGGCCUGGAGCUGGGUACGGUCAGGGAGCAGGAGGAGUCCCUGGAGGAGGCUAUGAAGCUAGGGCAAGAGCAGGAGGACUACCUGGGGCCGGAUAUGGACCUGGAAGAGGUUAGUCAACAGCAGAGCCAGGGGUUCCCUAGGACAGGUUGGGAUAUAGGGGCUAUUUACAAAGCAGCGUUCCUUGUUUGUUGAGAAUAUGUUCUUAAUGAUUUACCUGGUUAAAUAAAGGCAACUAAUAAUAGUUGGACUUGGG
ensembl:lncRNA